AGAGUUUGAUCAUGGCUCAGGAUGAACGCUGGCGGUAUGCUUAACACAUGCAAGUCGAACGGAAUGCUUCGGCAUUUAGUGGCGGACGGGUGAGUAACGCGUGAGAAUCUGGCUUUAGGUUCGGGACAACAGUGGGAAACUGCUGCUAAUACUGAAUGUGCAGGAAUGUGAAAGAUUAAUUGCCUAAAGAAGAGCUCGCGUCUGAUUAGCUAGUUGGUGAGGUAAAGGCUCACCAAGGCGACGAUCAGUAACUGGUCUGAGAGGAUGACCAGUCACACUGGGACUGAGACACGGCCCAGACUCCUACGGGAGGCAGCAGUGGGGAAUUUUCCGCAAUGGGCGAAAGCCUGACGGAGCAAUACCGCGUGAGGGAGGAAGGCUCUUGGGUUGUAAACCUCUUUUCUCAGGGAAGAACAAAAUGACGGUACCUGAGGAAUAAGCAUCGGCUAACUCCGUGCCAGCAGCCGCGGUAAUACGGAGGAUGCAAGCGUUAUCCGGAAUUAUUGGGCGUAAAGCGUCCGCAGGUGGCAAUUCAAGUCUGCUGUCAAAGGUUCUGGCUCAACCAGAAACAGGCAGUGGAAACUGAAUAGCUAGAGUGCGGUAGGGGCAGAGGGAAUUCCCAGUGUAGCGGUGAAAUGCGUAGAGAUUGGGAAGAACACCGGUGGCGAAAGCGCUCUGCUAGGCCGUAACUGACACUCAUGGACGAAAGCUAGGGGAGCGAAUGGGAUUAGAUACCCCAGUAGUCC
rnacentral:rRNA from 1 species